GUGCGUAAGGAUUAGAAACACAAGGGUUUAGGGUAACUUUGGGGGAUUUUCACACUAAAUAUUCCUAAAGGAGAAAAACAAGAACUGGAAAAAGUCAAAUGUAACAAGCACAGAAAGAUAUAGGUCAGAUCACAGGACCCCUUAUUAACUUGCAAUCCAAGCAACUUCCACGACAGAUGAAAAACAGUGUGUUCUACGUGAUAAUUAACCACUCACCAGCUGAAACUGAUAGAUUCAAAAUGGAGAUUCUUAGCCAAACCAGAGGAACAUAUCUUCGCAACAUUUUGUCUCAUCUUCCUCGGACCACACACAAGAACUCCCACACUCGAACCUUCCACGUCAAGUAGAAGUUCUGUUCAUAGACACCAACAAACACCUAAUUAGAAUAACAAAAUAUAUACUCGGAUACGUAUAGAUGUGGAGAAAGGGUAAUGUAUAUAUUACUCGUUAGGUUAGGUCUUUCUCCAUAAUGCAGGUUGGUGCACUGUAGGAGCGAUUCUUGUGGGGAACUUUCGAUUUCUCUCAAGGAAUUGUUACCACAUGAGGUUGGAGAAGACGUUGGAGACGGAACGUCGACGUUCUGAACCUGUUUAUUUUCGAUGUUUCCGUACUUGUUCUUCUUGUUCCAAAACAUAGCUGCACUUGAAGUCGCCAUGAUGCUCACACAGAUGACUAAGAUGUAUAUGAUGUUUUUUGAAGUCAGUGAGUAGAUCUUGUUGGUGUUGUGGUCGAUCGGGUAAAUGUAAUACCUAGUGAUGAUACCGAUAAUUAUUAAGAAGAUCAAGAACGAGGAUGAGAUAAUUCCGCCGAGCCAUAGCCAUGAGUUUGGUCCGAGGAUUGAUGAGAUGGGCUGGUCUGAAAGACUUGGUUUAAACCAUAGAGUUUUGAUUUUCUCCGUGGGAGCUUCGCUUCUUGGUUCUUUCUCUCGGGUUAUGAAGGCUUCGAUUUUGAUGUUUAUGUCCGAUGAUAGUUGUGUUUGGAGACCGGAUAAUGGCAAGACAAGAUCAAGCAUGGAUAUUUCUGAAGAGUUCUUAAAAGCGCAAAUCAGAGUGAUUUUGGGGAUUUUGCAUUUUUGGUUUUGGCUUGUUGCGAUCAUAUCACGGAUGACCGAAAUAAAUGGAGUUAUCCCGCUUCCUCCGCUCACCAUAACCAGAGCUUCAUGCCUAGACCACCCCAAGAAAACAAAAAUAACGUUGAUAUAUCAAAUGUUUCUUGAGACCCAAGCAAUCAAACUAUUAUUGUGUCUUUGAGAUAGUAUACCUUAAGAAAUCAGUGGAAGCAGGACCGUAAGGACCCUCGACAGAGACAGCGAGGUGGUCGAUCUGAUCAGAAGAAGAAAGCCUCUGAUAAAGCUUAGUUGACCAUUUGCCUUCGCUCUUGAUCACAACACUUAGCUUCUCUGGUUCGAGUUUGCUGCUUGAAGUAAUCGUAAAUGGAUGCCAUUGCAACUUCGAAAUGCUCGGUAUGUUCACAAACAAUAUGCUCGUCGGACUAUAAACCAAACCUGUUUAAUAAAGGAACAUUAUAGCUUAUUUAUAAACUAUUUGAAUCACAAUCACAAUUAUAAGAAGUUGUAAAAUUUUGAGAACUCACUAGGGUUUUUGGAGAAAGUGAGCUCGAUUGUGUGGGAAGGGAGAAUCCGAGCAGAGAGGACACGGAUGUUGUCACGUGACUGAAGAAACCUAAGGAAACGGUCGACCAUGAAGAUGUAGAAGCCAGGUAAAGCGAUGAAUGAAAAUGUUAUGCCGACGUGGAGGACGAAGAAAAGCAUGAAGACGAUGUAGAGAUAGUGAGUGUAGAAGAAGACUUCAAAGAAUCUCCUCCUCAUCGCCGGAAAUGCGGUGGCCCACAUCAGAAGUCCGGCCACUAGUGAUAUCUCUCCCGCUAAAUUCGAGAUAUCUUUUGUAUCCCACAUGAGCAUCUGCGCCAUUAAUUAAUUCAACGGCAGUUUUAUUAUUUACUACCAAGUAUAAAGUGAAAUGAAAUACGUACAAGGUUGACAAAAAGAAAUCACUGGAUUUACUUCAAUGAGAUUCUUUCGGUUUAUAAAACACACUUUUUUUGUCAGCGUUUAUAAAAGGCACAUAAAAAUGACAUUAAAUUAUAUUACUCAGAUCGUAAAAGUCGUAUACGAUUUUCUUAGGAUGAACACUUAUCCUAAAGUUUCCACCUUGAAAUGCGAGCUUCAUUAUUUUUCUUUUGUUUUUGAAUCAAACGAAUAUUAAUUGCUUAACAUUCAUCCCAUGUGAAGACCCAAUAUUAAACAUUUGACCGCAAUAUAAUACUCUCUGUUUUCUUUUAAAUGACGUCGUAAAAAUUUCACACAAAUUAAAACACUUAGUAUAAUUCAUUUUCUACCAUUCUUUAUUAAUUGAGAUCAUGUAUUGUAAAUCAUUUGAAGUAAAGUAAAUAUGGGUAAAUAUAGUUUUUUUAUCGCUUAUUUUUUAUUGUUUUCAGUAAAACGUCAGCUAUAUUGAAACUAAAAAUUUUUUUCAAAACUUCAUUUAAAUAAAAACGGAAGAAGUACUAUUUAAUUAUAAUUAUAAAAAGAACUUCAUUCGUAUGGAAGGUGCUCUAUUCGGAGUGACGUUGACCGGGCAUGGUGUAUUAGUUUGGACUUUGUCUUCGUAUCUAGAGGCGGGGACCCAAUUACUGGAAUAUUAGGCCGAGCCAAAAUCGAAUCCAUAUAUUAACCUGGUUUUUGUUUUUUUUGCUACUUAAAUAAACCAAAAAUAUACCUGAGAGGUUUCAUGCAUAGAGACCCAAUAGAUGACGUAACAUAGACCAUGAACGGUGAAAAUGGCUAGGACCAUAUGGCCGAGCCAAAUAUGGUAUUUGAUGCUUGACUCCGACGUAAGUCCCACCGCCGGUAGCAAAGACGACCCACGUGCCACCGGUAAGAACAAAAAUGCUAAACAUAUGUUUCCAAUCAGCCCUAUCCUUAAGGCCGCUGACUCCAGCUUGGCUUGCCACCUUUAAUUCAUCAAAAUUUUCUCAACUUUUGAAAACAUACUAAACUGUCUAUAUAGUUCUCUUGAUCUAUUAAAACUUUAUUUGAUCAAAAUGAUUUAGUAAAGUUAUUAUGCAAAAAAAAAAUUAUUAUGCAAAUUUAUCAUGUGAUAAACCAUGAAUUAACCAUCAUAUAAUAGACUAAUAGUAUUUUAGUAAUCAGUAUAAUUAUAUUCAUUUGUUUUGGCAUAGAUUUUCUAUAAUAAUAAUAUUUUUCAGAUAUACAUAAAAUAAACGAAUCAGAUAUAAUAAUAACACAACCAUAUAUUAUAUUUUGUAUGGUUGAUAGCGAAAGAAGAAAGAAAUGCUUACAAAGAUUCGCCAUGUGCGGCGGCUGAUCGAGGAGUGAUAGUGGCAAAGUUAUUGCGCAAGUAAGUGAUAAAGCUCCAAAGAAGAAGAGCCACAAACAUAGCCAAGAACAUGAUCUCAGUCGCUGAGACGAUCCCCAAUGGUCCCUUCACUAACAUUGGCUUUCUCAGUGCACUCAACACUCCUCCAUUCGUCUCCCUUUAUUAUACAGAGAAACAAAUUGUCAGAAGAAUGAUGAAAGGUAUACAAUUGUUCCGUCGACACCGAAUCGGCGAAUUUUAUACCUAACGAUAUGGUGUGGAUUCUUUCGUUUCUUGAAGUGAAGAUAGACACAUCCUAAACAAGCUACCACGACCAUUGGGAACAUAUACAUGAAAAGUGUCGUCCCUGUAAUGCAAAAAGAAGAAUAUUAAGAAAAAUUACUUGUUUUAAACAAUUAAAAAGAAAAGAUUACUAAACACANNNNNNNNNNNNNNNNNNNNNNNNNNNNNNNNNNNNNNNNNNNNNNNNNNNNNNNNNNNNNNNNNNNNNNNNNNNNNNNNNNNNNNNNNNNGAUUGCUUUAUCUGAAGAUUAUAUUUCUACAUUUUACUGACUUUUGAUUGUUCUGGCCAAGAUACUCUAUGAUAAAGUGGGGUAAGUUAGUUUUCGUUCUUGAUCGCCUUUGAGCUCUGGACCUUUAUUGAGUUAGUGUUUCUUUGGCAUUUUUUUUCUCUGGGAUUAUGGUGGUUUUAUGUUUAAAUUAUGUGUUCUGCUUUAGUUUGGUUAAUAUUAAGAUAAAUAUAUAGUUGUAAAUGAAAUAAUAGAAAAUAGUAAAAAAUAAUAAAAUAACGAAAGUUUAUGUUAUUUUUAGCUGCGAAUAAAUUAAAUAUUUAAAGUACAUUUAUAUUUUUUACUUAUUUCUUUAUUCGUUUUGCAAUUUUUUGAACAAUAAAAUAGAUUAAAAUAUAUUAGCAAAAUUCAAAUGAUGAUGGUUAGUGUGAGAAGGAUUAGAUAAUGUAUAAUUAGAAAAUAGUGAACCAAAUUGCAAUAAUCUAAAAGAAGAAGAAUCUAAAAUGUAAAAAGACAAAAAAAUGACACGUGGCAGCAAACCCCCCUGCCACUUGUCGGAAGAAGGGAAAAAGUCUACUUUAUAUAUAAAGAUUGUUCACAGCAUAAAGGAAAAAUCUGGGUUUUGUUUCGUAAAGUACUAUUAUCAGAGACAUGAAGUUAUUCUUAAUAUUAAAAACUAUAUUCUUGUGGAAAAAGGUAAACACAUUUUCAUUUAUAAUUAUGAUAUCCAAACUGUUUAAAUAGAUGAAACUCAGCUUUGUAUAUAGCAAGGCAAUGAAAUUCAAGCUUUUUGAAAAAUCUUUUGUGGUAAAACAUGAUAAAAAAAACUUGAAAGGAAAUUAGAAAAAAUCAGCUUGCUAUUGAUUUCUAUUUACUAAGUAUUUUAUGUAUAUAUUAUUUAAAGUUUAUUAACUUUUACAAUCAAGCUAUAAUUUUUUUUUGCAGAUAUAUAAUUCAGAUAUGAAAAGCAGGUAAAUAUUCAUUUAAUAGAUUUACAUACAUUUAUAGAUUAAACAUGUUCUAUGAAAUUUAUACUUUUAUACAAUGAAUUUUAUGUUCCGAUGUGUUAUUUAGGUUUAGAAAAUAUGUGAAAAAAUAAAUAAUUUAUUCUGAUAUAUUGAUAAGCUUUACAAUUUUAUGAUUUCUGCAAACAAAAAUAUAAUUUUAGUUAAAAAUAGGAUGAUAGUGAAAUUAAUUGACCCGUGCUUGGCACGGGAGGUAACUAGUAUAUAUAUAUAUACUGAAUAUAAGAAUAAUAAAUUAAAUUAUAAGGAUAAAUUUUACUAUCAGAUUUCUUGUUAUAUUAGUUUAUUAAAAAGAAUAUUAAUAAGAGAGUUAUUCAUCCGACGAACAAAACAUGCAUGGCUGUUGAUGUGGGUCGUAAAUUCGCAAUACCUAACUACUGUCACAUUUUCCCAGUAAGAUUGCACUUCACAGAACACAUACAUAAGUAAAAUCUUAUACAUCGAAAAAGAGGAGGAAAAAUGUGAUACUUAAGAUCACAAAGAAACAAAAGGUCAAAUAUAUAAGUGCGAUCUUAUUAUAUACCUUGGCCUUAUUAACAAAUAAUGGAAACUUGAAUCAUCGAGCUCCUAUAUAUGGAGUGUGUUUUUCGUACGCGGAUGUGUGUCAAUGUCUCUUUGUACACGAAUCUUUGCGUGUCGAUCAAAUUCUAAUUAUUAGUUACAAAUAUAUAAUUUUUAUAUCAUACCAUAAUUCUACUUUUCUUUUGCCUUCGAUUUUAUUCCUUGUAUAAUUAACCAUUGGGAAAAAUCUCACUUCAUAUACGUGAAGUCAAAAUAACUGUUUUAACAACAGGUCAACGAAAUAAAAUAUCUAUAGGAGUCUGAAUGAAAUAAGAAAGAGAGAUAGAACUAUACAUAUCUUAUAUGACAAAAAGGAUUUUUAUUAUUUUCAGCAUUUACAAUUUACAAAAGCUUCAUGCCUCAAUUCGUGAUCGAGAUUGUAACAUAACGAAACGUGCGUAAGGAUUAGAAACACAAGGGUUUAGGGUAACUUUGGGGGAUUUUCACACUAAAUAUUCCUAAAGGAGAAAAACAAGAACUGGAAAAAGUCAAAUGUAACAAGCACAGAAAGAUAUAGGUCAGAUCACAGGACCCCUUAUUAACUUGCAAUCCAAGCAACUUCCACGACAGAUGAAAAACAGUGUGUUCUACGUGAUAAUUAACCACUCACCAGCUGAAACUGAUAGAUUCAAAAUGGAGAUUCUUAGCCAAACCAGAGGAACAUAUC
rnacentral:lncRNA from 1 species